AACGAUGAAGUCUAGCUUGCUAGACGGAUUAGUGGCGAACGGGUGAGUAAUGCUUAGGAAUCUGCCUAUUAGUGGGGGAUAACGUGGGGAAACUUACGCUAAUACCGCAUACGACCUACGGGUGAAAGGGGGCGUUUAGCUCUCGCUAAUAGAUGAGCCUAAGUCGGAUUAGCUAGUUGGUGGGGUAAAGGCCUACCAAGGCGACGAUCUGUAGCUGGUCUGAGAGGAUGAUCAGCCACACUGGGACUGAGACACGGCCCAGACUCCUACGGGAGGCAGCAGUGGGGAAUAUUGGACAAUGGGCGAAAGCCUGAUCCAGCCAUGCCGCGUGUGUGAAGAAGGCCUUUUGGUUGUAAAGCACUUUAAGUGGGGAGGAAAAGCUUGUGGUUAAUACCCAUAAGCCCUGACGUUACCCACAGAAUAAGCACCGGCUACUCU
rnacentral:rRNA from 1 species